AGCUUUGCGCAGUGGCAGUAUCAUAGCCAAUGAAAUUUAUCCGAGGCAUGAUUAUUGCUAAUUGAAAGUUCACCUGUUUAAACGUGCACAAUUCAAUGGUUUUUAUUUAGUAUAUUCAUAGUUGUGCAACU
rnacentral:snRNA from 1 species